UACGGAGGGGGCUAGCGUUGUUCGGAAUUACUGGGCGUAAAGCGCACGUAGGCGGCUUUGUAAGUUAGAGGUGAAAGCCCAGGGCUUAACCCUGGAAUUGCCUUUAAGACUGCAUCGCUAGAAUUGUGGAGAGGUAAGUGGAAUUCCGAGUGUAGAGGUGAAAUUCGUAGAUAUUCGGAAGAACACCAGUGGCGAAGGCGACUUACUGGACAGAUAUUGACGCUGAGGCGCGACAGCGUGGGGAGCAAACAGG
rnacentral:rRNA from 1 species